ensembl:lncRNA
AAAUUCCUGCUGAUUAUUGCCCAACCUCUGCUGCAGCACAUGAAGUAGGUGAAGGCAUGCGGCCUGGUCCACCUAUCACACACCAUCUUCUGGGACAGCAUCUGCAGUCUGGGACCCCAUGAGGUGAAAAGCUUCCCAUCUGUCUUGUAAUUUGGCAGAAACUGUGUUCAACUCUUUGCUCACUACUGGCCAGGGGCAGGUGAACCUUCAGAGAGGUUCAGAAAGAAGGAGGAAAGGAAGGAAGGAAGCUCUGAUAUUGCUGAAGAAAAGCCAUAGCACACACCCUGAGAUCACCACUUCCAUCGGGAAUUGACAGGAGGAACGGUAUGGUCCUUCUCCCUUCCCCAUAUCACAAGAUAACACUAGCUGCCCAAAUUUAGAGCACUCUACCAUCACAGGUGGCCUUGGGUGACUGUGGUGGCUGGAUCUGAAUUGCCACCUGAAGCCUGUGGCCCCCAAGCCUGCUAAACCCCACCAGAGAGAAACAAGCACUGACUGGUGCCAAUGUAGAGAGCAGAGCCUGUAAUGACUGGGGCAUGGAGGGGCUGAUGGGGUGUGCGAACUGACCCAGGGCAGAUCUCCCGGGGUCAGGGCAUUGCUCUUUUGCUCUGCCCUCAUUCCUUCACCACUAGGAAAUGGUUCUGUACCAAAAUCAUGGACUCAUCCUUCUUUCUUCCUCCUGCCUUCCUUUGUGUGGUCAUCAAUGGAACAGCAAUCGCUGCAGGAUGGGCAUGGUAAAUUCCACUCAGAUUUGGCUGAGGUGAUUUGUUGCAGCCUUUGCACACCAACAGAGGAAUUCCUGAUAUCCUGCAAAGCUCUGCACCUCCAAAUCUGAUGACAGCUCUGCACUUUUUGCCUAGCGAUUGCUUGCAUUUUUGAGACAGAAGAAGCCUGUCAGUGGAAUCAGGGCAUAGGUGACUUGGUUACUGGUUCAUCAGCAGCUUAAAUUUACAGCGUUAAAAUUCAGAGUGCUCCUUUUUGAAAGACCGACUCCAGCUGAAGCAAAUGGGCCUGCUGAAAGCUGAAGCGUUUUGCAACCAACAACCAUUCGCCUGGUGACACAGAGUGGUGAGGCACUGGAACGGGCUGCGCAGGGAAGUCACCAUCCCUGGAGGUGCUCAAGAACCAUGGAUAUGGCUGGCAGUUGUGCUUCCUAGGUGUGUGAGAGGUAUGACACACACUGUGCCACUCUGCCAGUGCCCCCACUUCACCAGCAGCAGCAUCUUCAAUAGACCUUGGGCUGGUUAGCUCUGGAGUGCUGUACCAAGAACAGAUGCCUGCUGGAUCUGUUUCAGGAAUCGUCAGAAAUAGGACGUUACGCCGAGUUUUUUAUCAGUAGCUUGCCUUGUCAUCCAUGUGACAAGCACAUCACAGAUCUUCAAGGGAUACUAAUUACUCACUUAAAUGAGAUUAAGUUGAAGAUGCUGGCAAAGCCAUUUGACGGCUAUAAUUGCUGUCCUCCUGUUUGCUCAGCGCCUUUAGCUGGAGUUUGGGCAGGACUGGUGAGAAUCCAGGAUCACUCACGGGUGUGAGUGUGAGUCACAUUUCCCCGGCUUCCUGCAUGGCCUCUGCAGAUUUCAAGUGCAAGCCAGGCGGAAAAAGGAGAAAGCUUAAAGCCGCUUCCUCCAACAGAAAAUCCUUUAUAUCGCUGAGGUGUUUCAGCAUUCUUGGGGUGGCU